rnacentral:rRNA from 1 species
GACAGAGGGUGCAAACGUUGUUCGGAUUUACUGGGCGUAAAGCGCGUGUAGGCGGCUUUGCAAGUCGGAUGUGAAAUCCCACGGCUCAACCGUGGAAGUGCAUCCGAAACUGCAUCGCUCGAGUCUCGGAGAGGAAGGUGGAAUGCUUGGUGUAGAGGUGAAAUUCGUAGAUAUCAGGAAGAACACCUAUGGCGAAGGCAGCUCUCUGGGACGGUACUGACGCUGAGGUGCGAAAGCGUGGGAGCAAACAGG